rnacentral:misc_RNA from 1 species
UCCUUCCUUUCUUCCUUUUCGUUCUUUCUCUUUUCCUUUUCUUUCUUUCUUUCUUCCCUUCUUCUUUCUUUCAAUCACGAACAACCCGACGAAACGAAGCGCACUCGCGUGUGCGUCGUUGCAACGUUUUACUUUGGCCCUUGCACGCCAUUACGGACAUGGUGCCACACCAGCGCCAUCUGACAACCAGCCGACACACGUCUCUUAUUCGAUGUCAUCAAUACUUUCUGCCUUCUCUUUGUCGGAACAAAUUUUGUAUCUUCUUACAUGAUUUUUAUUAAUUUCUGUAACCAGCAUUUUUCUUCUACAAUGUCUUUAGACAUUAACGGUACUAAAUUGAAGGAUUGUGACAACAAAACAAAUACGAAGACAUUGACGUCAAUGAACAGCAAAGUGUUAAGCUUAGUUUCCAUCUGCCAUGUAGCUUCGAUUACAGCACUCUCUACAUUCGACUACCUCAACUACAAAUCAACUUUCGAUUUAUCGUAUAAGGCGCGAUUUUUCUUUAAAAAUGUCUUCCUCGUUCGAUUAAGAAUUUCGAUUGAUCAAGUACUUAAAAAUACCCGCCUCAAGAAGAAGGAAGCAACUGUUACAACUGCGCUCUCUAUUUUACAAACGCAUUUUCCCGCCAUCCGACCUGUAGAGAUGAGGGAGUGGGAGGCUUUAAUCUCGGACGAUUUAUAUUAUAAUAUCAUUUAUUACUCAACUAUCAUAAAAAUUUGAUCAUUUAAUUGUAAUAAGUUUAAUUUUAAUGAAAACUAUUUCAAAUCUAAGAAGUUAAGUAACAAUCGAGUGUUUUUUGGCACUAGGAUAAUAAAAACAAUUUUACAAGGUAAGGUAAUUACGUUAGCCUGUAAACGACUAAACUAUAAAUAACAAAAAUAAUUUCAAAGUAAAUCAACUUUUAUGAAUCUAAAAUUUAGUAAUUUCGUGAUAUACAUAAUAGAUACUAAAAUUAAGGAUAGAAAAA